rnacentral:lncRNA from 1 species
GGCAGAGUGCACGUGAUAGUCCUUAGGCAAAAGUAAAGUCCUUAGGCAGGAUCGUGCAGCCACCACAGAAUAUAAGUGGGGCAUGGAUCCUAAGCCACCAAGCACUAAAUAAAAAACACCAAGGAGCAAAGCCCAAAGCAGGUCACACGUAAAUAAGGCAGCAAGGUCAGAAUCACUGGAAAUGAAGUAUAGGCAGGAACACUGCAAGCGAACACUGGAACGGGAGACACAGGACCAGGCAGAGACGAGAAUACAGGACCAUAAGGACAUCGGAACAGGAAC